AGUGAACGCUGGCGGUAGGCCUAACACAUGCAAGUCGAACGGCAGCACAGUAAGAGCUUGCUCUUACGGGUGGCGAGUGGCGGACGGGUGAGGAAUACAUCGGAAUCUACUUUUUCGUGGGGGAUAACGUAGGGAAACUUACGCUAAUAUCGCAUACGACCUACGGGUGAAAGCAGUGGAUCUUCGGACCUUGCGCGAUUGAAUGAGCCGAUGUCGGAUUAGCUAGUUGGCGGGGUAAAGGCCCACCAAGGCGACGAUCCGUAGCUGGUCUGAGAGGAUGAUCAGCCACACUGGAACUGAGACACGGUCCAGACUACUACGGGAGGCAGCAGUGGGGAAUAUUGGACAAUGGGCGCAAGCCUGAUCCAGCCAUACCGCGUGGGUGAAGAAGGCCUUCGGGUUGUAAAGCCCUUUUGUUGGGAAAGAAAAGCAGCAGGUUAAUACCACGCUGUUCUGACGGUACCCAAAGAAUAAGCACCGGCUAACUUCGUG
rnacentral:rRNA from 1 species